ACUUACAUUUCCUUCAUUCCUUCUUCCAAAAUGGAAAUAAAAUCGAUAAAAUCAUCUUUGAAUCUAAUUAUGUUAGGUUAAGUUAAAGCUGAAAUUAUAAAAAUAAACAUAAAAGUCAGGUGUGUUCGGAAUCCAAACUUACUUUUAAGCUUAUCUACCGGAUAACUAACUGGAACAUAAAUUGACGUGAAAAGACGGGUACAUUUUAUCUGGCGAAUAAAUAUUUAUCCUCCAGAUAGCUAACUGCCAGAUAAGAGCAUAUUUAUUCGGAGGUGAAAAGACCGGGCCUAAGUAUGGUUAUAGACACCUGUUAAUAGUCUGAAAAUUUAUUUAUACCUUAAAUUUUUUGGUAUAUUUUGAAAAAGAAGCCACAUCUCGAUAAAAGUUGAUUUAUCAAAAAAAGACUAAGGCCCGGUCUUUUCACCUCUGAAUAAAUAUGCUCUUAUCUGGCAGUUAGCUAUCUGGAGGAUAAAUAUUUAUUCGCCAGAUAAAAUGUACACGUCUUUUCACGUCAAUUUAUGUUCCAGUUAGUUAUCCGGUAGAUAAGCUUAAAAGUAAGUUUGGAUUCCGAACACACCUGACUUUUAUGUUUAUUUUUAUAAUUUCAGCUUUAACUUAACCUAACAUAAUUAGAUUCAAAGAUGAUUUUAUCGAUUUUAUUUCCAUUUUGGAAGAAGGAAUGAAGGAAAUAAAGAAAACAUUGAUUAUGCUGAAAUAGUUUACUGGAGAGCUUGAACAAGAGGUAAAUCCAUUUUAAAUUAGAGGAAAACUGUUGAUUUGUAUGUAAAAUAGAAGACAAAGACAAGUUUAAAUAAAGACAAGCUAGCUAAUGAAACAGAUGCAGUGAUAUGACAAACACCUAGAAGAUGGAAUCCUGUGUUCUCAAAGAAAAAGCUAGUUCCAGAAAUAAGCUACCAAUAAUAAACUAGAGAAUGUAUUACAAGAAAGAACAACGCUAAUACUCAACAUAGCUCAAUUGCUUCAGAUAGAAAAAGAGGAGGAAAGGGUAGAACACAAGCGUGCCAGAGAAAAUUAAAGGGCAGAAGAGACACAAAAAUUCAUUGAUUUAUAUAAAUGAAA